UACGGAGGGUGCAAGCGUUAUCCGGAUUCACUGGGUUUAAAGGGUGUGUAGGCGGGCUGGUAAGUCAGGGGUGAAAUCCCGGAGCUCAACUCCGGAACUGCCUUUGAUACUACUGGUCUUGAAUAUUGUUGAGGUGGGCGGAAUGUGUCAUGUAGCGGUGAAAUGCAUAGAUAUGACACAGAACACCGAUUGCGAAGGCAGCUCACUGGGCAAUGAUUGACGCUGAGGCACGAAAGCGUGGGGAUCAAACAGG
rnacentral:rRNA from 1 species